rnacentral:tRNA from 1 species
AGCUCAGAGGUACAGUGCUUGCCUAAAAAGCAUGAAGCCCUGGGUUCAAUCCCCAG